CCUUAUCACUCUUCCAGCCAGCUUUCUUCUUGCAAGUGUUGGACGGAGAACUGAUAAGGGU
rnacentral:pre_miRNA from 1 species